rnacentral:rRNA from 1 species
CCUACGGGGGGCAGCAGUAGGGAAUCUUCCGCAAUGGACGAAAGUCUGACGGAGCAACGCCGCGUGAGUGAUGAAGGUUUUCGGAUCGUAAAACUCUGUUGUUAGGGAAGAACAAGUAUGAGAGUAACUGCUCGUACCUUGACGGUACCUAACCAGAAAGCCACGGCUAACUACGUGCCAGCAGCCGCGGUAAUACGUAGGUGGCAAGCGUUGUCCGGAAUUAUUGGGCGUAAAGCGCGCGCAGGCGGUCCUUUAAGUCUGAUGUGAAAGCCCACGGCUCAACCGUGGAGGGUCAUUGGAAACUGGGGGACUUGAGUGCAGGAGAGAAGAGUGGAAUUUACGGUGUAGCAGUGAAAUGCGUAGAUAUCAGGAGGAAUACCGAUGGCGAAGGCAGGUCUCUGGGCUGACACUGACGCUCAUGCACUAAAGCGUGGGGAGCA